rnacentral:rRNA from 1 species
CGGGAAGCAAAACGGCACGCGAAAUUAUAUAUCUAUCUCUGCGACCCAUCUUCCUCUCGCACCCCACUUCGCCCCCUCUUCUUCGCCCGCCCGUGCUGUGCCGUGCGGUGCCAUGUCGAGGUCGCAGAUAAUAAGUAGCAGUAGACGCGGCUCGCUAAUCAUUGUCUCUUUUAAGUAAGUCUUAAUAACUAAGAUAAGAGGCGCCAACCGCAACCCCCACCUCCUCCUUGCCCGUGGCUGGAUUUCUUUUUGUUCACGAAGUGCCGCUGCUGCUAUUGCUUUUUGUCUGCCCAUAGUCUUCUCCUUGGUCUUAGAUACUCUAUCACCGUUGGGUUCCUCUCCUCGCGGGGCCUCCCCCUCUCCCUCCUCGUCUUCCUUGUCCCCUUCCUCAAUCACAAUCGCAACAGUAUAUCAUCAUCAUCGCCGAGGGCCCGUCCCGUCCCGCCCGAGCUCUUCGUCCACAGUUUCGUUUUGUUUUGUUUGUUGACGCCGUGCCUUUGCUUGAGCAAUUUGGUUUCUUGCAUAAGCAUUCGCCUUUGACUGCUUCUUCUCUUCUCUUCCCUUUCCUUCUUCUUCUCACCACCUGCCGGCUGAGCACCAAGGCCCACCAACCAUCUUCAAUGUGCUCAUUCAACAAUUCUGCCUCUUGAUGCAUACAUGGCCCCCGUCCCAGAGGCGUCAGAUCAUGGCAUUCCAAGCUGCAGCUCCAGCUCCUGCUCCCGCCGGAUGGAAGGCGUUGACUUCGACGGCUCAUCGAUCCUGCUAGCACUUUCCUUCAAUCCAGCCCAUCUCUUCCCCGUUGGAAGGUAAAAUCCUUUCCUUUCCUUUCCUUUCCUCGGUGGGUGGCCGACACCCCUCCGGGCCGCGCGUGAUCUGAUCGGCCCCGGCGCGGCGCAGAGCACCACGAGUCUCCCGCCCCGUCCCGUCCCGUGCUUGGAUCCCUGGAGCAGGAGUGGUGGUGGGGUAGCUGCCGCAGGCCCUUGUCCUGUCCCCCCCGCCCGCCGCUCCAUAAAGAUUCGGCGAUUCCGUCUUCGUCUUGGUCCGAUCGUCCCACCCAUCGGCAGCGGCGAUGGGCAACACGUGCGUCGGCCCCAGCAUCGGCAAGAACGGCUUCUUCCACUCCGUCUCCACCGUGCUCUGGACCAGGCGCCCCGACGGCGAAGCCCUGCCCGCCGCCAACGCCAAUGGAGGCGCCGCGGACCGGACGCCGCCGCCGGACGCGCCGCUGGCCGCCCACAUCGUGAGCAAGGCGCCCGAGCCCGUCAAGAUCGCCUCCGGCGCCGCCAACGCCAAGCCCGAUGAGGCGGCGCAACCCAAGCCCAAGGCCAAGCCGCCGGCACAUCCCAAGCCGGCCGCCCCCGCCGCCGCCAAGGAGCAGGAGUCCAAGGCGUCCACGGACUCGUCCAGCAGCUCCGGCUCCGGCUUCGGCGAGGCCAAGCCGCCGCACCACCGGCCCAAGGUGCCCCCGGUCAAGCGCGUGUCGAGCGCCGGCCUGCUGGUCGGCUCCGUGCUCAAGCGCAAGACGGAGAGCGUCAAGGAGAAGUACAGCCUGGGGCGGCGGCUGGGCCAGGGCCAGUUCGGCACCACCUACCUCUGCGUCGAGCGGAGCUCCGGCAAGGAGUACGCCUGCAAGUCCAUCCUCAAGCGCAAGCUCGUCACCGACGACGACGUGGAGGACGUGCGCCGGGAGAUCCAGAUAAUGUACCACCUGGCGGGCCACCCCAACGUCAUCUCCAUCCGGGGCGCCUACGAGGACGCCGUCGCCGUGCACCUCGUCAUGGAGCUCUGCGCCGGCGGCGAGCUCUUCGACAGGAUCGUGCAGAAGGGCCACUACACCGAGCGCAAGGCCGCCGAGCUCGCCAGGGUCAUCGUCGGCGUCGUAGAGGUGUGCCACUCCAUGGGCGUCAUGCACCGGGACCUCAAGCCCGAGAACUUCCUCUUCGUCGACCAGACGGAGGAGGCCGCCCUCAAGACCAUCGACUUUGGUCUCUCCGUCUUCUUCCGGCCUGGUCAAAUAUUCACCGAUGUUGUCGGAAGCCCCUACUAUGUCGCGCCAGAAGUGCUGAAGAAGAAAUAUGGCCCCGAGGCAGACGUCUGGAGCGCCGGUGUGAUCAUCUACAUUCUGUUAUGUGGUGUGCCGCCAUUUUGGGCAGAGAACGAGCAGGGCAUAUUCGAAGAGGUUCUACAUGGGAAACUCGACUUCGAGUCAGAUCCAUGGCCCAGCAUCUCCGAAGGCGCCAAGGAUCUCGUGAGGAGAAUGCUCCUCAGGGACCCCAAGAAGAGACUGACCGCCCAUGAAGUUCUACGGCAUCCAUGGGUUCAGGUUGGCGGUCUGGCUCCUGACAAGCCUCUGGACUCUGCUGUUCUAUCCCGUAUGAAGCAGUUCUCGGCCAUGAACAAGCUCAAAAAGAUGGCUCUCAGGGUGAUUGCGGAGAACUUGUCCGAGGACGAGAUCGCCGGCCUCAAGGAGAUGUUCAAGAUGAUCGACUCGGACAACAGCGGGCAGAUCACGUACGAGGAGCUCAAGGUGGGGCUCAAGAAGGUGGGCGCCAACCUCCAGGAGUCGGAGAUCUACGCGCUCAUGCAGGCCGCGGACGUGGACAAGAGCGGGACGAUCGACUACGGCGAGUUCAUCGCGGCGACGCUGCACCUGAACAAGGUGGAGCGGGAGGACCACCUGUUCGCGGCGUUCCAGUACUUCGACAAGGACGGCAGCGGCUACAUCACCCCCGACGAGCUGCAGCUCGCCUGCGAGGAGUUCGGCCUCGGCUCCGACGACCUCAGCCUCGACAACAUGAUCAGAGAAGUCGACCAGGACAACGACGGGCGCAUAGACUACAACGAGUUCGUGGCGAUGAUGCAGAAGCCGGCGCUGGGGCUGGCGAAGAAGGCCGGGGCCGGGUUGGAGAGCAGCUUCAGUAUCGGCUUCAGGGAGGCGCUGAGGAUGGCCUGAAGGAGGAGGAGGAGGAGCUAGGUGGUAGUCGUGGUGACGCUAAUUUCGUUCUGCUCGUCGAAGACGCUUGUUGCAGAGACAUGGUGAGGUGAUUUGGGUUUUCAUAGGGUGGAAAGUGGCAGCAGCUCCUGGCGAGUAGCGGGGGACGGUCGGGACUCGGGACAACGUGCGUGUAGUAGAGGCAGGCAGGCAGGCAGGCAGGCAGCCCCGGUGAUUUUCUGCUCGCUACUGGUUUGGUUCAAUUGUGUAUUAUACUGAGUAUAAACUACAAAAGGCUUUUCCCCCUCCUUGUAUACAGUACGGUUAGAAGUGAAACUUGCACAAGUUGGAUUAGCUUUAUAGGAAGAGUCAUAUGAAUGUGGCAAAUUUGUGAAACUUUUGAAGAGCCCCAAACUCAAUUGGGAAUAAGUUUAGGGGAUUUUCUCUAGCAUCCCUGGCUGUGGCUCG